CUUGCUUCUCAGUGUAUUUUUCUUCUCAUCAAAGCGUAGUGUCUGUUCUGAUCAGUGUAAUCUCUGAUAUGUCCUUGAUGUGAGGACUGUAUAUUAGCUUGCUCUCUCAUAGUAACUCUAC
rnacentral:snRNA from 1 species